GGAGAUUGUGGAUUUUUACAUGGUGGUUGGGUGGUUCAAAGAAGAAAAGAGGGUUUAGGUGAGUUAGGGUUUAGGUUGAAAAGAGGGAGCUUAAAUGUGAUUUGGACAGAGGUUUUGUGGCUUUCAAGAUUGAAAAAUGAGUGAGGAUAAUGCUCUAUUUAUAGAGGAAGCAAAGGGCUUGAAGUGGGUGAACCAAAAGGUACUUUGGGUAAAAAAACUAGAGCUAUUACUGUUGUCUGCG
rnacentral:lncRNA from 1 species